rnacentral:sRNA from 1 species
AUUUUUUUUUAAUACCAGGAGGUUCUAAGCCAAAAUCCGUAAUUCUCCUAGGUGCGAAACCGCAACAUGUAAUAUUAGUUUCGUCUCAAGCGUCACUCGAACCGACGACCUCUAAGCUUCGCAUGGGAUCUUUACUAAUUGAGCUAACGACACUAAUAUUACGUAAAGUGAAUGAAACCUAAAA